GGUUAUGGGGUUAUGGGGUCGGUUAUGGGGUCAGCCAUGGGAUUCUGGGAUUCUGGGGUCAUUUGUGGGGUUCUGUGUUUGUGGGGUGGCUGUUGUUCCUGGGGUCCUUAUUGGGGUGAGCUGUGGGGUCUGCCUGGCGUCCGUCCGCCGGUCCGUCAGCGUCCGUCCGUCCGUCCGCCGGCCCCCAGGUGUACGUGCUGAGCGCCCAGGAAGGCGGGCGCCACAAACCCUUCGUGUCGCACUUCAGCCCCGUGGUUUUUUCACACACCUGGGACAUCGCAGCCAGGGUGCUGCUGCCGCCCGGAAAGGACCUGGUGAUGCCGGGUGAGGACACGUCCCUGCAGCUGCUGCUGCGGCAGCCGAUGGUGGUGGAGGAGGGGCAGCGCUUCACCCUUCGCGACGGCUCCCGCACCAUCGGCACCGGCGUCGUCACGGCGACGCUGACCCCCAGCGCCGAGGAGGAGGAGGCCGCCUGGGGCUGACCCUGUCGCGACGGAGCGUAUCGCCAUCACGAGGCCCCCCCCCUUAUCGUGAUGGCGCCGCUGCCGGGGUGGGGCUUCGGCGUGAUGCGGGGACGCUGUCGUGAUAGCGAGGGUGGAACGGCGCUGACUGUCGCGAUGUGGGCACCGAGUAUCGUGAUAGCGGCACCAGAUGUCACGAUACCAUCACCAAUAUCGUGAUACAGGCACCAAAUGUUGCAAGAUGGGCACCUGGUGGUGACAGUAUCGCGAUAUGGGUACUGAAUAUCGCGAUAGUGGCACCAGAUGUCGCUAUACUGUCAGCAAUGUCGUGAUAUGGGCACUGAAUGUCGCAAUAUGGGGCACCCAGUGGUGACAGUAUCGCGAUAUGGGUACUGAGUAUCGUGAUACCGGCACCAGAUGUUGCGAUACUGUCAGUGAUGUCAUGAUACGGGCAUGGAAUAUCGCAAUAUGGGCAGCCAGUGGUGACAGUAUCGCGAUAUGGGUACUGAAUAUUGUGAUAGCAGCACCAGAUGUCACGAUACUGUCAGCAAUGUCGUGAUACAGGCACCGAAUGUCACAAUAUGGGGCACCCAGUGGUGAUAGUAUCAUGAUACGGGUACUGAAACGGUGACAAUAUCGCAAUACUGGCACCAAAUAUCACGAUACUGGCCCUGUAUCAUGAUGGUGACACUGCCAGCAGGCACCGGCUGGGGCUCCAUCACAAUAUGGGGGCACUGUCGUGAGAGUGAGAGCAGAACAGCGCUGACUAUUGUGAUAUGGGUGCUGAAUGCUGUGAUAGUGGCACUAAAUGUCAUGAUAGUGGCGCCAAAUAUCGUGGUACUGUCACCAAUAUUGUGAUAUGGGCACCGAAUGUUGCAAUAGUGGUGCCAAAUGUUGUGAUGUUGGCCCCUAUCGCGACAGUGAUGCUGCCUGGAGGCACCAGCUGGGGCUCCAUUGCAAUAUGGGGACACUAUCAUGAUAGGGUGGGACAGCGCUAUCACGAUAUGGGCACCAAUAUCAUGAUAGUGUCACCAAGUAUCGCGACAUAGGCUGCAGAUGCUGCGAUAUUGACACCAAACUGGUGACCAAUGGGGGGGUGGUUGAUGCGGGAACGGUUGAUGGUAUCACAAUAAAGACACUGGAACUGUG